UACGGGGGGGGGCAAGCGUUGUUCGGAAUUACUGGGCGUAAAGGGCUCGUAGGCGGCCAACUAAGUCCGACGUGAAAUCCUCAGGCUUAACCUGGGAACUGCGUCGGAUACUGGAUGGCUUGAAUUCGGGAGAGGGAUGCAGAAUUCCAGGUGUAGCGGUGAAAUGCGUAGAUAUCUGGAGGAAUACCGGUGGCGAAGGCGGCAUCCUGGACCGACAUUGACGCUGAUGAGCGAAAGCUAGGGGAGCAAACGGG
rnacentral:rRNA from 1 species